rnacentral:rRNA from 1 species
AGAGCGAACGCUGGCGGCAGGCCUAAUACAUGCAAGUCGAACGGAUCCUUCGGGAUUAGUGGCGGACGGGUGAGUAACACGUGGGAACGUGCCCUUUGGUUCGGAACAACUCAGGGAAACUUGAGCUAAUACCGAAUGUGCCCUUCGGGGGAAAGAUUUAUCGCCAUUGGAGCGGCCCGCGUCUGAUUAGCUAGUUGGUGGGGUAAAGGCCCACCAAGGCGACGAUCAGUAGCUGGUCUGAGAGGAUGAUCAGCCACACUGGGACUGAGACACGGCCCAGACUCCUACGGGAGGCAGCAGUAGGGAAUCUUGCGCAAUGGGCGAAAGCCUGACGCAGCCAUGCCGUGUGAAUGAUGAAGGUCUUAGGAUUGUAAAAUUCUUUCAGCGGGGACGAUAAUGACGGUACCCGCAGAAGAAGCCCCGGCUAACUUCGUGCCAGCAGCCGC